UAGGUGGAUAUAAUAUCGCAUCAGAAUACAGCUAAUGGCACUGAGAAGGCGAUAUUCGGAAUAUUCAUCAAGAACGUGGUACCUGAUAGCCCCGCGGGACAAUGUGGGGAACUACAGACCGGUGAUAGGAUUCUAGAAGUAGACGGCGUAUGUGUGAGGACAGCGCAGCAUGAGAGAGCUGUGCAGCUGAUCAAGGCAGCUGGCAGCACUGUCACUUUGACUGUCCAGAGCCUGAUAGCUUGGAAUACUGAUUCGUCUGACGUUGAUGUAACCUCACCAACUCCUUCGAGAACACUUUCAUAUAAGAAAGGUCCAGCGCCGCCGCCGCCCACCGCCGUCAAG